GGUCAUGACACCAUCGUGUUCACAGCGGACGAUAAGGUCGAUGUCAUCUCCAAGCUUCCACCUGCGGUAACUACAAGGACAGCAAGACGCACUCACUACAAGAUCCAGUGCUGUGGAUGGACCACCCCAGACAGCACAGGACAGGGUCACCUGUCCCCAAGAGCCGACUUACCGUUCAUAAAUGGGAAAAGGAGGAGGAAGAGGAAGGAGAAGAGGAGAAGUAGGAGGAGGAAGAGUCCUAUGCGUAUAACACACAGCCACAGCGCUGGUGUGAGACUCAGAGCUGAAGCGCACAGAAGCACUGAAGUGGUCUCUUUGCUUGGACUCUAGAGGACGGGCGGGAUCAUCACACUGCUCACUCUUAUUCUUAAGAACUGACAACACUCAUGCCUACCAAAGUCAGAGUUGUCCCUCUUGUCAAAGAAGAGUUUAGAGCCGACUCUCUGGACAACGAUGUCCCAGGAGUACACGGAGCGGGUGCAGCUCAUCAGCGUGGCCAGGAUGGCGUCAGUGGCAAACACAUUGCCCUGCGUUUUUGCCAGCUGAAAGCAGGGAGAGAGGGACAAGAGAGUGAACUGAGGACGCUGAGGUCACUUGGGAAGAAGACAUGCCCAGUCAGUCAUGGAGGCUGCAGCAAAUGGGCUGGGCUGUCACUGUAGCAGGCCAUGGUGGAAGCAUGGCCCUCACUCCACUCAUUAGUUUCCAGCCGAGCCACCCCUCUACCUUUGUAGGUAAGAAAGCUAAGGCUCCAGGGCAGCAAAGUCAGGCUGGCAGAGCUGGAAUCUGAGCACGCCUCUGCUUAACAUAUUUAAGUGUAUCCACUUCCAUCAAACUCUAAGUGUGAUGUGGAAGAACCUCAUCUAAGGGCUGGGCUAUGCAGUCAGCCGUUCCUGUGGGGUCUCAGCAAUCAAUCCACAUGUUCAGGGGAGAAAACGUGCCCGACAAGCACGCACACCUUCUCUUUGUCAGGUGCCUCAAACAACAGGGUAACAACUGCUUAUGUAGUAGCAUCCAGUGUCUUAGGUGUGGUGGGCAAUCCAGAAGGAUCUGAAGCAUGGAGGAUUGCUGGGGCCGACAGGCGAGUCACAUCACCGGUACUGGAGCACCCAUGGCUUUUGGUAUCAUGGGGUGGUCCUGAAUCAGACCCUGUGAACACUGAGGGACACCUGCACGUCUCGUGCCCUGCUCUUUCUGAGGCCUCAGCGACAUUCCCAAAGGUGGGCAAAGGGUGCACACCUUCCGGAUGACAGGGUCGUCUGUGGUGGUGACGGUGUGAAAGAUGCGCUUGAUGCUCCGCAGGGGCUUCUCACUCCUCGUGGUGAUGCGGUCAAAGGCUUUGUCGUAGUACUCCAGGGCCCCGCAGCACUCGCUGCGGGGAGAGGGGAAAAAAAAAAAUCACAGAGAUCCUCUUCCUCUUUUAUGCCAUGGAAUCGGAAGUCAGAUCUAUUGGCAUGCCUGGCACUGCAGGGUGCGUGCCUACAAUCCCAGGGUUAGGGAGGCAGAUGCAAGAGGAUGGCAAAUUAAAAAACCUCAGCUACACAGGAGGGUCCAUCUCAGAAAAUAAACUUCACCCAGAAGUUCAGUAUAUAUGAAAGAGAUGGCAUUAAUCUCUCUGAAAAUGAGACAAAUCUUUAGUUUUAGUUGAGUUUCCUGUCUUCGCAGCUCCCAAUGUUCCUCUGUAGAACACAGGGAAAGACCUUACACAGUGAACCUUCCCUGGGAAACUGAGCCCAUUAUAGAGGCACCCAGAUAGAUCGACUUCUGGGUUGAAGCUCUGGCUCUCCACUGACUUAGCUCUAUGUCCUUGCCCUCUAGUGUACGAUGCUACACAAAAUGGAGUCUCCUGAACAACUGUCACGCCUCUCCUGCCGCAGGAGCUUAGUGACUGAACUACUGGGCUUUUUCUCGGAUGCCAAAAGUGGAAAGAAACUGGGACUUUUUUAGUAAACAAUGCAUUUUUUAAAGUGGGUCUUGAUCUUUCAAAAACAUACCCACCAGUCCAUAGCACUGUAAGUGGCUUCAAAUCUGCUUUGGAGUUGCUAGGACUUAAGGAGACACUGAUCCCUGGCAGGCAGACAGACUCUGAAACAGGGUGGGCACCAGGGAAGAAGCUACUCACAUGUCUUGAGGCUCUGACACUUCCAAGUAGCGCAUCUUCAUCAGCUGAGGGAAGUCCAUCUCCUCCUUCACCUCCCAGUCACUGCGAACUUCAACUGAGGAGUCUCGGGGUUUCUGCAGAGGAAACACAGGAAGAUCUUCAUAUCCUACGCAAAUAGCAAAAGACAGAGUGACAUGGGAAGGGCUUUCAUUCAAUCAUUAUGGUCCCGGAUGUUUUUUUUUUUAAGUUCAUUGUAUUUAUUUGAUCUCUGGGUUCUCUGCUGCAUGUACACCUGCAGGCCAGAUGAGGGCGUCAGAUCCCUUUAUAGAUGGGCAUGAGCCACCACCUGGGUGUUGGGAAUUGAACUCAGGACCUCUGGAAGAGCAGCCAGUGUUCUAAAAAGCUGAGUCAUCUCAUUAGCCUGGUCCUGGCUGUUUUUAAGCAGGGCCCGUGACUCCUGGCAGCUCAGAGAAGGAAGCAGGGCCUCAGCAUGGGGCUUCUCAGGGUGUCAAGCACACGCCCGAUACAGCAAGCAGCUAAGUCAACCUGCACCUUCACGACUUUAUCACCCUACAACACUCGGCAGUGAAGCCGCGAUUCUGUGCCCGAAAAGCAGCUGCUUUGCUGUUGGCAACACUCCUAGCCCAAACUCCACUUCUGGUCAUGUCUGUUAUGCUCACAGCUCCCACAAAGAUGGCAGUGUUAUACCUAACAGUGCCAAAGUGGAAAGAUGAAUGGCUGAAGGAAAUGUGGCAACCCAUACAAAAAAACCACUCUUGGGCAAAAAGACUCCAUGUUUGUGAGCUUUAUACCAGCAGGUCUAUAACCAGUCACAUGUAAACUGAAAAUUCUUGGAUGCUCAGCAUACUGGAAAUCCCACCUACUGGGUGGCUGACAGAGGAGGAUCACCCGAGAGUUAAAAUGAUACUUUCAACCCAAAUAUAUAAUCCAGAGGCAAGCUAAAGUCCACGAGGGGACACACAUGAGAUACAUGCAGAGAAGGUCAGUGCACACAAAUCUUGAUCUCUGAGGGUACCUGGAACCAAUCCUUAACAGACAUGAAGGAAAAGUGAAAAGACUGUGCUAACACAGGCUGCGAUAUGAUCUUAAAAGUGGCACACUAACUAAAGGGCACAGAGUAUGAUCCCAUUGUUAUUCUCCCAUGAAAUGCCCACGGGCAUCAGGGGAGUCCCGAGACAUCUCUCAAGGUCAAAGAAAACAAACCCCUCCAAGUCCCCACAGAGUCCCUAGAGGGACACUACCUGUGACUUCUGGUCCCAUUUUUGCCUCACUCCAAAUUGCUUCUGGAAUUUUUUCUGCAAGCGAAUUCGUUCUCUGAAAAGACAGACAAAAUGCUGUGAUUUCAGUGUCGGCUUCUAGCUGAAUCGCAUCAUCCUUCCUAGCUGCUACCAGGAUAGAAAAUAGGGGCUUAGAUGCAGAACACACUGGGGAUUCGAGCAGAGGCGCACUACUAGUAUCAACCAGCAUUCAGCCCAGUUACUCCCAUGGCAGCCCUGGCUAGGGUGCAGUGGCUGCUGUGCCCAGCUCCAAGGGCCCACAGGAUAUAGCAUAAGUGGUGCUGCCUGGAACCAGGCAUCCAGAAUGUAAAGGCCACAGAGCCACUUCAAAUGUCUGCCUCACCCACCUCCUGUCUGUCUGCCAUUGCCCAGUCUUGGGCAGCAAUAGGUGAGGAGGUUUUGCUUUCUUUUUCAAGAGUGAAAGAUAGCCAGUCCCUGCCCUGCUCUGUGAUUUUGAGUACAGCCCAUUUGGGAACAUAACUCUGACUUGGCAGGAAGGGACGCUCACCUCUCUUUCUGCUUGGCACUCUUGGGCAGGGUCUGUAGGUUGAACUGCACCAUGUUCCUCCGAUCUUUGUCUCUGCGGAGGUUGCGCUGGGGAGCAGGAAGAGACCCAUGUUAGCCCCUCGGAGACAAGGCUCAUGGUAUCUUGAGAGUAAGUUUACGGCGUGAGUUCUAAGUUUCAUAUCUCUUUACUUUUACUCUACAGCGACUACAGAAUUUGGGCUAAGGGGAGUAGCACUCGUGUUAGCUUGGACUGUCAUUCCCACUUUAAUGUGGGUUUACUAGUUUUAUUGGAGUUGCAAAGUUUGCAACAUUAUGUAGCAGGAGGCACCCUACCAAACCAUGUAAUUAACAAAGGUUGUACAUGACAAGUCAGCAAGGCACUGGGUUCCCAGCACAGCUGUGUGAUGUCUGAACUACUGUGAACAAAAAUCUAAACUCCUUCAAUG
ensembl:lincRNA Gm17638 predicted gene, 17638